CGCACCUUGCGCUCCUUGGUAUUCCGAGGAGCAUGCCUGUUUGAGUGUCUUGAAGUCAUCAACCCUUCCCGUUUUGUUUAACGGGUCGGGCUGGAUGUGGGGGCUUUGCUGCCGCAGAGGUGGCUCCCCUCAAAUGCAUCGGUUGGGCCUGUGGGUCAAACUCGACUGGGCGUUGUACCAUCCUCGCUCGACGGACGAGACCACUGUUGGCGCCCUUCCCCGACCUGCCUCUCGGGGGCGGUCAAAGCAAACUUUGAAAUCUGACCUCAAAUCAGGUAGGACUACCCGCUGAACUUAA
rnacentral:misc_RNA from 1 species